ensembl:lncRNA
CUGGUGAUUCUGAUUAAGCCGUUUUAGAGCGGAGCCCCUGAAUCUCCUUGACUCCAUCCUACCCGGAAGAGCAGAUAUCCCGCCUCAGUGUCACCCGAGUUCCAGGAUGGCAGAAGCCAAGGACUCUGCCAUACCAUCUUUUUUGGCUUCCAGUUUCUCUGCUGCCAAGAAACGUGAAUUGGAGAUUGUAAAAUGAAGAUGUGCUGAUGUGCCACUCCCAACAAUGACAGUGGACCUGCCGUCUUGCUCCCAGCUCCCCGUCUAUACUUCCAUCUUCUCUGUUGGAAGGCCCUCACAGACUCUCAAACCCUUCCCUGCUGUUCCCUGCAGUUACUGAGUUGUGGUGUUCUCCUGGGGACAACUUAAGUCUUCUUUUAAAGGCAAAGAGUGUAUUUCAGAAUCUGUGCACAGCUCCUUUAAGAAUGAGAAGAAGACAGCAGAGGAGCAAGUGUGGCCAAAGGGCUGUUAGCUGGACCAUCUCCUUCUGCGGCAUCUGGUCUGAGCUCCCCUCCGCCUGUGGGACCCACCUGUCACUCUCUGAGGAUUCUCUGAAGUCAGAUCCACCUUUAGGUUCUGCCCUUUUCCCUGAGCUCGUCCUUGGUCUUUGCUCUGUUGACUUGCGCCUCUUUGACCGCAGACACGUGCAGGCCUCUGCCCUGGCCCAUCUCUCCUGCAGUCCUGAUCUGGACAACUGUUGGCUCCACUCUGUCCCCUGCUUCUGUCUGAGCCAGUGCUUGUUAACAGGUCUUUCGUGUGGCUCCUUCUUUCAUAUUUUAUGGCACUCCUUUCCUGAACUUGGCACCAAGUCCCUCUGGAACUGUCCUGGGAGAUAAUACAAUGUCACUGCUAAGGGCAACAACCGAUUGUCCCUCUUCUUCAAUGAUCUACCAGUGUCCGCGAGCUGAACUCUCUCUCCGCUGGGGGAAGUCAAUGGAGGUCACUGCCCGAGAGAUUGAGGGUCAGUCUUUGUCUGCCUUCUUGACAGCUCCAAAAGUCUCAUGUUUCUGAUGAGAUCUGCUGAAGCUUUAUGGAGAGAAAAACCCAAGUGGUUCAAGCCGGCGUGCCUGGAUUCCCCUGGAAACAGCAGGAAUGCCCUUUCUGGGGGCUGUUAUUUGUUAAAAUCGGUUACAGUGCAUUCCAGGAGAGACGUUCCAAAAAAUGCAGGAGCAAUGACAGCCUUGCCGGAAUAGGAGCGAGAACAUGGAACGUGGAGUCAGUCAACCCAAGUUUCAAUGGGCAGAGGCAGCUCCUCACUUUCCAAAUGAACAACCUUGUGCAAGUCAUCAAAACUCCCCGAGCCUUCGCUUCUUCAUCUAUAAAAUGAGGAUGAAAAGAAGACCUUUCUGAUGGUGCUGGUUUGAAGAUCAAAUAAAAUAAUGAAUGUGAAAGUGUAUUGUGAAAUGUCAGGCGCUUUUUAAUGUUAACUAUUAAUAGUAAUGUGUAUUAUUAUUAGUCUAUGAUUCCACUGAACACUUUAGCAACAAAGAACAGAAACUCUGACUCAGACUGGCUUAACAACAGGGAAACUUAUUAUCUCCUGUAACAGGAGAUUCAAAGGUAGAUGAGGCUUCAGGGCUGGUGGGCUCAGGUCUCAGGUGCGUCUUCAGCGCCCAGGUUCUUUUUCUCUCCCUCUUCGGCCAUCCUGGGUUAUCAGCUUUAUCUUCAGCCUGGUCUAAGAUGGCUUAGCAAAUUCAGGCAUCACCGGUAGACACAGCACUAUUCUGCGGAGGGAGAGAGACUCUCCCUGUAGCUCUC